rnacentral:rRNA from 1 species
UACGUAGGAGACGAGCGUUGUCCGGAGUUACUGGGCGUAAAGGGUGCGCAGGUGGCGGCGCGCGUGGGGGGUGAAAUCGCCCGGCUUAACUGGGCGGGGGCCUUCCAGACGGCGUGGCUUGAGCAGCGGAGGGGGACGUGGAAUUCCGGGUGGAGCGGUGAAAUGCGUAGAGAUCCGGAGGAAUACCAAAGGCGAAGGCAGUGUCCUGGAGGGUUAACUGACGCUGAGGCGCGAAAGCUAGGGGAGCGAACAGG